GCGAAGUAGAUGGUUUCAGAGUGGAAAGAAAUGGCUCGGUGGAGGGUAAAGGUACCCGUACCGCAAACCGACACAGGUGGGGGAGGAGAGUAUCCUAAGGCCAGCGAGAGAACUGUUGGUAAGGAACUCGGCAAAAUGACCCCGUAACUUAGGGAUAAGGGGGGCCACCAUCAGGUGGCCGCAGAGAAUAGGCCCAAGCGACUGUUUACCAAAAACAUAGGUUUCUGCUAAGUCGCAAGACGAUGU
rnacentral:rRNA from 1 species